CCUACGGGAGGCUGCAGUGGGGAAUAUUGGGCAAUGGGCGCAAGCCUGACCCAGCAACGCCGCGUGAAGGAAGAAGGCUUUCGGGUUGUAAACUUCUUUUGUCAGGGGCGAAGCAAGUGACGGUACCUGACGAAUAAGCCACGGCGAACUACGUGCCAGCAGCCGCGGUAAUACGUAGGUGGCAAGCGUUAUCCGGAUUUAAUGGGUGUAAAGGGCGGGUAGGCGGGGAAGCAAGUCAGAUGUGAAAACGACGGGCUCAACCUGUGGCCUGCAUUUGAAACUGUUUUUCUUGAGUGCGGGAGAGGUAAUCGGAAUUCCGGGUGUAGCGGUGAAAUGCGUAGAUAUACGGAGGAACACCAGUGGCGAAGGCGGAUUGCCGGACAGUAACUGACGCUGAGGCGCGAAAGCGUGGGGAGCAAACAGGAUUAGAUACCCUAGUAGUC
rnacentral:rRNA from 1 species